AGUGAACGCUGGCGGUAGGCCUAACACAUGCAAGUCGAACGGCAGCACAGUAAGAGCUUGCUCUUACGGGUGGCGAGUGGCGGACGGGUGAGGAAUACAUCGGAAUCUACUUUUUCGUGGGGGAUAACGUAGGGAAACUUACGCUAAUACCGCAUACGACCUACGGGUGAAAGCAGGGGAUCUUCGGACCUUGCGCGAUUGAAUGAGCCGAUGUCGGAUUAGCUAGUUGGCGGGGUAAAGGCCCACCAAGGCGACGAUCCGUAGCUGGUCUGAGAGGAUGAUCAGCCACACUGGAACUGAGACACGGUCCAGACUCCUACGGGAGGCAGCAGUGGGGAAUAUUGGACAAUGGGCGCAAGCCUGAUCCUGCCAUACCGCGUGGGUGAAGAAGGCCUUCGGGUUGUAAAGCCCUUUUGUUGGGAAAGAAAAGCAGCAGGUUAAUACCCCGCUGUUCUGACGGUACCCAAAGAAUAAGCACCGGCUAACUUCGUG
rnacentral:rRNA from 1 species